rnacentral:rRNA from 1 species
GGGUUGUGAGGUUAAGCGACUAAGCGUACACGGUGGAUGCCCUGGCAGUCAGAGGCGAUGAAGGACGUGCUAAUCUGCGAUAAGCGUCGGUAAGGUGAUAUGAACCGUUAUAACCGGCGAUUUCCGAAUGGGGAAACCCAGUGUGAUUCGUCACACUAUCAUUAACUGAAUCCAUAGGUUAAUGAGGCGAACCGGGGGAACUGAAACAUCUAAGUACCCCGAGGAAAAGAAAUCAACCGAGAUUCCCCCAGUAGCGGCGAGCGAACGGGGAGCAGCCCAGAGCCUGAAUCAGUGUGUGUGUUAGUGGAAGCGUCUGGAAAGGCGCGCGAUACAGGGUGACAGCCCCGUACACAAAAAUGCACAUACUGUGAGCUCGAUGAGUAGGGCGGGACACGUGGUAUCCUGUCUGAAUAUGGGGGGACCAUCCUCCAAGGCUAAAUACUCCUGACUGACCGAUAGUGAACCAGUACCGUGAGGGAAAGGCGAAAAGAACCCCGGCGAGGGGAGUGAAAAAGAACCUGAAACCGUGUACGUACAAGCAGUGGGAGCCUCUUUAUGGGGUGACUGCGUACCUUUUGUAUAAUGGGUCAGCGACUUAUAUUCUGUAGCAAGGUUAACCGAAUAGGGGAGCCGAAGGGAAACCGAGUCUUAACUGGGCGUUAAGUUGCAGGGUAUAGACCCGAAACCCGGUGAUCUAGCCAUGGGCAGGUUGAAGGUUGGGUAACACUAACUGGAGGACCGAACCGACUAAUGUUGAAAAAUUAGCGGAUGACUUGUGGCUGGGGGUGAAAGGCCAAUCAAACCGGGAGAUAGCUGGUUCUCCCCGAAAGCUAUUUAGGUAGCGCCUCGUGAAUUCAUCUCCGGGGGUAGAGCACUGUUUCGGCAAGGGGGUCAUCCCGACUUACCAACCCGAUGCAAACUGCGAAUACCGGAGAAUGUUAUCACGGGAGACACACGGCGGGUGCUAACGUCCGUCGUGAAGAGGGAAACAACCCAGACCGCCAGCUAAGGUCCCAAAGUCAUGGUUAAGUGGGAAACGAUGUGGGAAGGCCCAGACAGCCAGGAUGUUGGCUUAGAAGCAGCCAUCAUUUAAAGAAAGCGUAAUAGCUCACUGGUCGAGUCGGCCUGCGCGGAAGAUGUAACGGGGCUAAACCAUGCACCGAAGCUGCGGCAGCGACGCUUAUGCGUUGUUGGGUAGGGGAGCGUUCUGUAAGCCUGUGAAGGUGUACUGUGAGGUAUGCUGGAGGUAUCAGAAGUGCGAAUGCUGACAUAAGUAACGAUAAAGCGGGUGAAAAGCCCGCUCGCCGGAAGACCAAGGGUUCCUGUCCAACGUUAAUCGGGGCAGGGUGAGUCGACCCCUAAGGCGAGGCCGAAAGGCGUAGUCGAUGGGAAACAGGUUAAUAUUCCUGUACUUGGUGUUACUGCGAAGGGGGGACGGAGAAGGCUAUGUUGGCCGGGCGACGGUUGUCCCGGUUUAAGCGUGUAGGCUGGUUUUCCAGGCAAAUCCGGAAAAUCAAGGCUGAGGCGUGAUGACGAGGCACUACGGUGCUGAAGCAACAAAUGCCCUGCUUCCAGGAAAAGCCUCUAAGCAUCAGGUAACAUCAAAUCGUACCCCAAACCGACACAGGUGGUCAGGUAGAGAAUACCAAGGCGCUUGAGAGAACUCGGGUGAAGGAACUAGGCAAAAUGGUGCCGUAACUUCGGGAGAAGGCACGCUGAUAUGUAGGUGAAGUCCCUCGCGGAUGGAGCUGAAAUCAGUCGAAGAUACCAGCUGGCUGCAACUGUUUAUUAAAAACACAGCACUGUGCAAACACGAAAGUGGACGUAUACGGUGUGACGCCUGCCCGGUGCCGGAAGGUUAAUUGAUGGGGUUAGCGCAAGCGAAGCUCUUGAUCGAAGCCCCGGUAAACGGCGGCCGUAACUAUAACGGUCCUAAGGUAGCGAAAUUCCUUGUCGGGUAAGUUCCGACCUGCACGAAUGGCGUAAUGAUGGCCAGGCUGUCUCCACCCGAGACUCAGUGAAAUUGAACUCGCUGUGAAGAUGCAGUGUACCCGCGGCAAGACGGAAAGACCCCGUGAACCUUUACUAUAGCUUGACACUGAACAUUGAGCCUUGAUGUGUAGGAUAGGUGGGAGGCUUUGAAGUGUGGACGCCAGUCUGCAUGGAGCCGACCUUGAAAUACCACCCUUUAAUGUUUGAUGUUCUAACGUUGACCCGUAAUCCGGGUUGCGGACAGUGUCUGGUGGGUAGUUUGACUGGGGCGGUCUCCUCCUAAAGAGUAACGGAGGAGCACGAAGGUUGGCUAAUCCUGGUCGGACAUCAGGAGGUUAGUGCAAUGGCAUAAGCCAGCUUGACUGCGAGCGUGACGGCGCGAGCAGGUGCGAAAGCAGGUCAUAGUGAUCCGGUGGUUCUGAAUGGAAGGGCCAUCGCUCAACGGAUAAAAGGUACUCCGGGGAUAACAGGCUGAUACCGCCCAAGAGUUCAUAUCGACGGCGGUGUUUGGCACCUCGAUGUCGGCUCAUCACAUCCUGGGGCUGAAGUAGGUCCCAAGGGUAUGGCUGUUCGCCAUUUAAAGUGGUACGCGAGCUGGGUUUAGAACGUCGUGAGACAGUUCGGUCCCUAUCUGCCGUGGGCGCUGGAGAACUGAGGGGGGCUGCUCCUAGUACGAGAGGACCGGAGUGGACGCAUCACUGGUGUUCGGGUUGUCAUGCCAAUGGCACUGCCCGGUAGCUAAAUGCGGAAGAGAUAAGUGCUGAAAGCAUCUAAGCACGAAACUUGCCCCGAGAUGAGUUCUCCCUGACUCCUUGAGAGUCCUGAAGGAACGUUGAAGACGACGACGUUGAUAGGCCGGGUGUGUAAGCGCAGCGAUGCGUUGAGCUAACCGGUACUAAUGAACCGUGAGGCUUAACCUUACAACGCCGAAGCUGUU